AUGGCCGCCCCCUCGCUCUCCAUCCCCCUCACCACCCGGGCGCCUCUGCUCCGCCUCCUCCUCCGCCGCCGCGGCCUAGCCCACUCCGCCUCGCCGCCCAAACUCCCCGUCUGCUCUGCGCCUCCUCGCCACCGCCGCGGCGCGCUCUUCCUCGGACCCGGAGGUGCAGGUGAAAGGCAGAGAAGUGGAGUGGGGAGCAGAACCAUGUCGGCUUCCAUAUAUUCGACAAAGGUGGACGCCGAAUCGGCAAUGACCACGAAUGGAAGAGAUGUGGAGCUGCUACCAUUCGUGAAUGACAAACAUGGAGGUGUCAUUAUUGAGAUGACCACCCCGAUGGAUCCUCAACUUUUUUCAGCUUCCUUGAAAUCUUUAUUGUCGAAAUGGAGGGAGCAGGGAAUAAGAGGUGUCUGGAUAAAAUUGCCAAUCAGCCUUGCCAACCUUAUUCAAUCAGCAGUAGAGGAAGGAUUCUGGUACCAUCAUGCAGAGGAAACUUACCUAAUGCUUGCGUACUGGCUCCCGAACACGCCUCAUACAUUGCCUGUGAAUGCUACUCACCGUGUGGGCGUUGGAGCUUUUGUAAUGAAUGACAAAAGAGAGGUAUUGGUUGUACAGGAAAAAAGCGGUGUACUUAAGGGGCUUGGUAUAUGGAAAUUCCCAACUGGAGUUGUUGAACCAGGGGAAGAUAUAAACAUUGGAGUUGUAAGAGAAGUAAAAGAAGAGACUGGGGUUGAUGCAGAAUUCGUUGAGGUACUUGCCUUCAGGCAGAGCCACAAAGCUUAUUUUGAAAAAUCGGAUCUAUUUUUUGUGUGCAUCCUAAGGCCACUUUCCUUCGACAUUACUAAACAAGAGUCUGAAAUCGAGGAUGCUCAGUGGAUGCCGGUGGAGGAAUUCGCGGCACAACCGUUUGUCCAGCAACAUGAACUCGUGAAGUACAUUCUCGAGGUCGGUCUGGCUAAGGCCGACAAGGAAUACGCGGGAUUUUCACCAAUCAGCAUAAAAUCAGCGUUCUCGCCGAAACAGUCCUUGUUUUACAUGAACAGGAGGGACCUGGAGAAAGCCUCAGGACCCAUCAUCAAUACACAAAAAGAUAGUUGA
rnacentral:rRNA from 1 species